UACCGUAUAAAGAUGUUAUAAAAGAUGUGUGUAAGAAGCAGAAUUAAAACACAAGUGUUUUUAAACGUUGCUUUGGGUAUUUUUCAAGAUGAAUAAGAAGAGGGAAUGUUUUUGAGUUGUUUAUUCCUGUGUCUAUAUGCAUAGAAUUAUAUACAUUAGUUAUUUCGAUAAAUUAUGCAUGCCUCCAUAGAACUGUGGCUUGGGAUACGUAAUAUAAGAUUCUCAUCAUACUCAAGGCCUGGAAAGGGAACAAUUUGCACUUUUCUUUAUUGAUCCCAUUCUUGUUGAUAGUAGUAGGAGAGAAUAUGGUUUUCUACGUGACCAUUUUAGCCAGUGUUUCCUUAGUCUUUUGCCCAUACAAAAUAGUAUGUAUGUAUGGACAAUCCCCUUGUUCUGAGAUUCACAGAGUCUGCAUUUAGGGAGAAUGCAGAGCUCUAGAAUUUCUGCGUUUCACUUUGUGUGCGUUAUAAAGCAUGAGAGAGCGCCUAUGAAGUCAGAUGCUCUAAUUCUGUAAAAACACAUCUGAGAUGCAGGCUUUGAUCAGAAUUUUUAUGACCAGGAGUAAAUAUUCCAACCAUAGCCUGUGUGACUUAUUUGACUAUGUAUUAGUCAGUGACAUACCAGACGUGUAUUUUUUGAUCUAUAAUCAAUAAAUCUAUUCCAAAUUUACAGUCAUAUUACAGAAAUUAAGACUUAAAAUGGGAUGGCUUUUCACGGCACAGGCAAGAGUGACUUUGGUGUUUUAACCCUAAUGCUUCACCAUAAAUUGUUUUCUCCAUUAUUAAAUCUACGAAUCUAUUUGAGCCUAGCAUGUGGAGUCUUUGUUCUGUUUUCCGUUGAGGUUGUUAUUAUAACGUAUGACUCGAAAUAUCAAGAAAUUCAAAGCAUCCUUACUGUUUCCUGAAAAAAACAUAUAAGAAUAUCAUCAAGACAGACUAUGUUUAAGUGUGUGUUGAUAGUUCAUCUUUUCAGAUUUUUUAGUGGCCUCACCCAUGCCAUUUGUGUAGACGCUUUGAAAUUUAAGUGUCUGUGUAUAUAAACAUGUCUUACGACUCCAAGUGAAAGAAGGAAAUAAAAACAGUGGAGUUUUUUUCUUUUUCUUUUUCUUUUUUUUUACUAGUAUUUAUCUUUCACUUCUGUUGGCUUCAUUCUUGUUGGAACUGAUUAUUUUUUAAAAAUCAGAACUUUUUCAGCACAAAGGACUCUACCCAUGUGUGUCUGUGUACACCACAGAACUUGAUUCUAUUGAAUAGAAGCCUGGCACAACUGAUCAGAAUGGUUCUAUUGAACAAAGCACCAUAUAGAGGUGUGUGCUUCCUGCCACCUGUUUUAUGAUCAUCAUAAGUGACAUGCACAGGAUGUUUCAUCAGUUGAAAUCCAAAAGAAAGCAAGGAAUAAUAUUCGACAGCUUUAACAAUAGCAGAAUAUUUAAAUACAAAGGUUUUCUUUUUAUGCUCUGUUAAUGAACUAUACUAUAUAUUAACUUAUAUUUCAUAAGAUAAAAAUACCAAAAUAAAUUUCUUGUCUCCAGAGCAUCAUGUGUUAUAUGUCCUAUAUCGUGCAACUUUGAAUAUUCUCUGUGCAAAGCAUGCGUGGUGAUAGAAUACUGUUCACAAAGCUUCUUUUCUUCCUUCAUAAAAGUGUGUGUGUGUGUGUGUGUGUGUGUGUGUGUGUGUGUGUGUGUUGUCAGACUUUGUUUCUAUAAGCUACUUUACACUGUAUGUGGAUGGAUGUGACUCUUUCUGCAUUUCUCUCUCAGUUGUCACCAGGUAAUGCGGUUCUGUGGAUUCGUAGUGUGACUUGGAAAGCCAGAUCCCUCUAAGCUUAAAAUAAAGGAAAAGAUAAACAACAAGGAGUGAGAAGAUGUGGGUUGCAUACAAAAAGCAGUGAUGUUAACAACCCGAUGGCUUCUGGAUUGGGAGAACAGCCUGAGCCAGACGCAUACAUUAAGAGCUGUCUGCUGCCCAUGUCCAAAUUUGCAGAUCAUUCUUGAAAUCUUCUGAAUAUUUUGGAAACACAAAAGUGAAAUGUAAGAGCCUACACAUUUAUAUUGUGAUUGCUUUCCUACCACAAUGAGAGGCUAAUGUUGAAUUGAAACAUUAUCCAAGUGAAGCCUUGCACUUUGUAUAAUUUUUGAUACAAUGUCUUUCUUAUAGUUGACCUCCAGAUCUUAGCUGGGGAGACAAUCUUUGCUACAUUCUUGCUUUGUUAUACAUCAUACUAAAACCAGCCUAUGCAUUUGUAAUUUUGAGGGAAAUGUCUACAUUAGACUAUAUAUAAUCUAUAUUUUUGCUGUUGUUCUUGAAGGAUUAUCACAGCCAGUUCCCUCCAUUUCUCUCUCUUCCUGGUGCCCCUGUACCCAACACGGAGCCCUUUCAACCUCUUCAAAGAAGUUGGGGUGGGGGAGUAGACUCUUUAUUAAUGGCAGAAAACAAACUGGCUGCUGGACUUCCGAGACAGCUCUCUAAUAAAGAAGCUGAGCGGGCUGUGUGACAAAGAAUUCCUGAAUUACUAAAUAUAUAGAGAAGCCUAUUUAAUUCAUCAGAGGGGCUUAGAGGACAGGCACACAAAGUUUAGAAUUCAAUUCAAGCCAUGCCAGAAAAUGAAAAUGUACUUUAAAAAGGAUUCCGAAGACAAUUGUUCAAAGAAAUGUCAACUUUUAAGGUUCUUUCUAGAAGAAUGAAUUUUGUUCUCUCAUUUUUUUGUGGCAACUUUUUCAAUUAAAGAGGAAAUGAUUAAUAGAAUCUCAAAGAAAUUGUAUCUUAUAGUUUAAAAACUGUGUUUUGUUUCCACAGGACCCAUUCUAGUGCGAAGCACCUAUUGCAUUCCCUAAACAUAACAACUUAUGUGGAUGGCUCACAGAAAUAAUUUUAUUUUUAUAGCAAUUAGACAUAACUGUCAUAGUGCUCAUAGUAUUUCAAAAGAAGAGUAUUCAACUUUUAUAUAAUUUCCAGCACAUUCAUACAUACAUAACUUUAUGAUUUAAUAUAUUUUACAACAAUGUAAUCACCUAAUUUCGAAAAAGUUGCUGAUGUUUUUUAACAGACCAUGUUUUUGGUUUUGUUUUUUAACAAGAUUAAAAACAUGAUUCUCACCUUG